rnacentral:lncRNA from 1 species
CUCCCAUUGAUUUUUCCCGUUCAAAUCACCCUCUUAGAAAUUAAAUCAUUUUUCCUUCUCUUCCUCGUUUGGGCGGAUUAAGCUUACCCUAGCUUCAAACCCUCAUCUCCAAACUGACGGUCCAUCUCCCUAAAAAUCUUUAUUUUUCCUCUAAAAUCCUUUCUACUCUACCUCUCAUUAGGUCUCCUAAGCUGUUUGCAAGUCUCUGUUGUCCGAAAUGACUCCCAAAUUAAAGCUACCGUAGAAAAGAAAGUCUGUUCGUGGGUUAGAAGAGGAUGUACACAGAAAAAGAAUGGCAGC